CCCGAAUUGGGCUCGUCAACUCAUCAGACACCUGACUAGACAUUUUACAUCUACACCAUGAUCCAGUAGAUCAACAGUUGCUUAUAGGAUUAUGGCACUCUAGUAUUUGUGGUCCCAGAAAUAUCUGUCUGGGUAUGCAGAUAUCAGAUGAUGAUGACUACUAGUAGCUGAACUCUGGAUAUGUAUUUCCUAUUAAAUUAGAUGUCAUCACUGUGCAGUGCUUUAGGAGUCGUCUUCCUCUGUCCUUGAAAGAAAUGCUGAGGAGUUAUAGGCCAAUGAAGUUCAGCAGCUCUGGAUUUGCAACUAGACUCAUCUUACCCAACUGUAAGAGACCCAAGAUGAAGAUCAUCAUAUAAAUGAAUAGAAACAGCAGGUUCUUAGUUGAUUGUGCCUCUCCAGGAGGAGACAACACCAGUGAAAGCUUAAAUGACACUCUAUGGGCGAGUUUGGAGAACUGAAAUUCAGAUGGGCCUAUUGCAUAGGAGAUGACCAAAUUGAUAAUUGAAAGAAUCACUUUUCAAAAGCAGAUGAAAUAGCGAGCUAUUGUCUACAAUACAAAGCUAAGAAUGUAUGUAAUAUUAACCAGUUUCUGUUCAGCAAUUAUCUGAAGAGGAGACUUCUCUUUUUACCC